AUUUUUUUUUGCGUUGGAGAUAAUAAUAAUUUUCAACAUGGAACUCAAUGGAUUUUUUUAGCAAUCAACUAGUUGAAUUCAAUUUCAAAGGAUGACUUGAGUAGCAUCUCAUUUUAUCACGUUGGACAAAGUACUCGGAAUUUGUGAAUCAAGACAUCACCUUGGAAAAUACAAACGUUGGGAGAGGAAAUUCCCAAUAAAUUGCAAUUGAAAGAAAGUCAAAAAGAUCUCCAAUUGGAAAUAGAAAUAAGAGAAGAUGCUAAGAGUUAUCAAAUGGUAUACUACACAUAUACAUAAGGGAAUGUAUGGACAUGUAUAAUGUUUAUGAAUGCACGGGAAUUUGCAAGUCAUAAUUUAACUCUUUCCCAAACAAGAAAUUUAAGAGACACACUUUACAAGGAAGAAGUCCAUCUUUCAUGGAAAAAUGUUACAUAAGAAUUUUGGGGAAGAAGACAUAUCUACUUUACAAAAGCUAUCCUACAUAGAGAGCUAUAAAUGGGCAAGGAAACAAUUGCUAUGAACUACACAAAUCCUUGAGGAUUUCCUCCACACCCAUCUCGAUUCCAUACACCAAUCUAUGCCAAGAGGUCAAUUUGUAGUCUCCUAGAGAUAGCAUGAGUUGUCCUUCCACCCGCCAAGGAAAUUACCAAGGAAAUUCCCAAAAAUAGUUAGAUUUCUUCUUCAACAAAAACCAAGGGAAAAUGUUAUUCAAGAAAAUUAUAAGGAGCCAUUUAAGAGCUUGCAAGAGUGUCCGUCACUACUCUCCUACAAAGCCAAGAUGGAGACAAGGAAUGAGAUAUCCCAAAUCUUUCCAAAGUGGAAGUAAUGACAAUUGGACGAAUAGUGGUGAGCUCAUCUUCUUAACCUAAAGAGUGAAAGUCCUUUUUCCCACAUGAGAAAUUAAGGAACGAGAUCAACAAGUAUAACUCUUUCCAAGAUUUUCAUCAAGAAGGCAGGAAGGCCUUUUUAACAAAUUCAAAAAAGAGAUGAACAACUAGCUCAAAGUAGCAAGUUAUACUCCCAAAAACCUACCACAAAGGGACAAAGAAAUCGGAUAUAUAACAACACCAAUCCACACUUCCUUCACCGUCUUUAUCGCUUAGAAAAUUUCAUCGAAGAAUCAGCAAGGAGUGAGAGGAGAGGGAGGAAGCACUCGAACAUCACAACAAUUACGGAAUCACCACAGCAAGGUAAUUCUCCCCAACAUCUUUUACGAAAAUAGCAUUCAUAUAGAUCCCAACAUAGCAAUUGUAAGAUAGGACAUAGAGAACAUAGAAGUAGCAUCAAUCAACAGUUAGAACCAACAUCAAGAUCAAGCCUUUAAUCACAACCAUUGUCCAUGCUUCUAAGAUCACACAUAGUUGCUGCCGAAAACUCAAACAUAAAGAAUUAAGUUUUAGUAGAAGUUAGAGGACUUAGCUUCAAGCCGAAGGGCUGCCCCACGACCUCCGACAGCGGCUAAGCCACGAUGGCAGCCGCGCGGACUCCUCUGCGGUAGCAACAGCAAUUACAAGAGCCGGCAGCGACGAGUGGAAAGGCAGCGGAGACCAGCGCCAACCGACUGCGCGAUGCCGAGCUGAGCACAGCGACGGAAACAACGAUGCUGCCGAGAGGGAACCUGCCGCCGUGAGGGUGCGACGGCGGUGGCAGUAGCGGCUCCUGGUCCGGCACGGAAUCGCCGCUGGGACGGCGUCGGAGGCUAGCUCCAGAGUCGCAGAGAGAGAGAGGAAGCUCGACGGUGAGAGAAAUAGAGAGAGAUAGGGAGAAGACCGAUGGGAAUCACCGGAGAUAGUGAGAGUCAUUCCAGCUAACUGGAUCUGCGGAUUUAUGGUGGGAAGUGAGAACAAUGACUCUAGAACAACUGGAGGAGACUACUUGGGAACAAUUCAGGACUGAGUUUUAUAAUAAGUAUGUUUCCCUGAACUAUCGAAAGGAAAAGGAAGUGGAAUUCUGUAACUUGAGACAGGGACCGAUGUCCAUGAACUACGAUCGGUUGCUCUGAGAUAUGUCCAAAUAUGCACCGGAGCAAGUGGAUUCUGAAGAGAAAAUGGCUAGGAAAUUUCGUGCCGGUCUGAGGCAAGAAAUUCGAAUGGCGUUGGUUAGCCACGGGAGGUUGACAUACCCUGAAUCUCUAAGAGAAGAACUAUAUGUUGAGUCAACUUUAGCAAAUGAGGAACACUCACCGGUCAUCACUACCGCAUCCCGCCAAGUACAGGCUCAAGUGCCUAGGAACAAGAAAUAGUUGAAGGGACAACUGACUCAACCCGGGCCCAGGAAAGCACGGCUAAAAUAGAACAAGCCACGAGGGUUUGGGAAGCAAACGACCCCCAAAACAGUAAGGAAAUAUCAACGAGAACCCCCCGUUUUCCCAGAGUGCAAUAGAACGCACUAUGGGAUAUGCAGGGAAAGAACAUGAGCUUGCUUUGCUUGUGGGAAGAACGGACAUUUUAAGGAGCAUUGCCCGACAAAACCCCUGAAAACCGAGACAAGGUCACACCAGAUAACGCAGCGUUCAGAACUGCGGACACUGCAUGCACAACCUGGGGCCAAUCCACAGGUGCCACCGCCAAAUUAUCAGCAGCCACAAGGUCUCCUGUCACAGGCUCGAGGGUAUAUCCCAGCGCAGGAGCGGCUAGAGGGAAAUCAGGGAAGCCUGUUAGGUAUGGGCAUUCCCUCGAAUUACCUGUUAUCAUACUGUUGGAUACGAGUACAUUACAUCCAUUUCAUAGCAGCAUUUUGAGUAGACACUUUAGAUAUCCACCGAUCAAGCUAAACAUAGGAUAAAGGUGUCCUCACCAUAGUAGGCCUUAUAAAUAGUAUGCAAAUUUGUUUGAACAUAGAAUUCACUGAGAGAGACUCUAAGUUAAUGGUUCACAAUUCGAAACGUUGGCAUAAUACUAGAAUUGGACUGGCUGGCGGAAGACCAUGCCACGGUCCCAUGCACAGACAAAAUUCUAUAAUCUCGAUGCUUUAGGUCGUUGAAUGAUUAGAGAAAGACAAAGGAGAAGUUGGAAAUGGUAGACGUCGCCGUAAAUUCCAGAUAUGUAACCGAAAAUACCACAAUACAGACAAGUGGAAUAUACGAUAGACCUAGAACCCGGAUCCGCCUCGAUAACAAGAGCACCUUACCAAAUACCAGUUGCACUAAAAGAUCUAAUGAAUCGUAUUUUUAACUGGCGCUUGAAAAAGAACCUAUUCUAGCUUUGUGUGACACAUUCGUCUAUUUGAAGGACGUGAGAAAACACUAAGGACAAUACAGGACUACGCUAGAAACGUUAAGAGCCGAGUAGCUCUAUGCUAAGAUUAGCAAGUUUUGAGUUCUGGCUUAACGAAGCAAAUUUCCUCGAACACAUGGUAGCAACGGAAAGGAAUCUGAGUAGAGCCACAGUAACAGACCACUGUAGGAGAAUAUCAAAGGAUCCUCUGAAAUUGCAAUAACAAUGACUCAAAAGCUCGAGAAAAGAGUCGAGAUUUCAUGACUCCCUGAGCAAAGUGAGCUCGCAAGAAGAGAAGAUAACUAUGGUGCUAGCACUAGUUACCAUAAAACUCGAAAUAGCUACAUCGUAUGCACCGACACACUGAAGGGAUUGACCUGGCUAUGGCUACACGCGGAAGGGUAGAGAGAUUAAUUAUGCAUCAUGGCAGCUCAGGCCUCAUGAGCUGAAAUACCCAACGCAUGAUCUAGAAUGGGCUGACAUAAUCUACAUACCAAAAAUUUGAGGCACCAACCUACGAAAUUUGGUGUAAAUUUUUUUUUCUAACCAUGAGAACCUCGUGCACUAUCAAACGGAAGGAUUUAGACAUACAAUAGAUUGAAUGUCUAAAGUUAGUAAAAAAACUACGACUGCAGCAUAAAUUAAUAUCCGAGCAAGGCUAACUUAGUGGCUGAUACGCUGAACCGCAAAACUCAAACAUGGUUAAAAGGAAGAGAAAUACUGCAAGGACUCGAUAGAUUGAGCCUAGAAGUAGAGCGUGCACCCGAGAAUGUGGGGAGAGAAUUUCCACUUGGGUAGAAGUGCCAAUCUCAGGAUCAAGAUCGUAAACACAUAAAAUUAGAGUAUGGCAAUAGAAGGUUACACCCGGAAGUAAAAGUAAGCGAAUGAAUGAGUUACCCUAAGGAACUGUGGGAAGAUCUCACAUUCGAAGGAAGAUCGUGUGUGGCAGAACAGUGAGAUGUCAAGGAUAAGAUCACAGGAAAUCCCACGACGCCCAGUCAUCAUGGAAGUAUCAAGAUGUGUUAGGAUCGGGAGAAGAAAAAUCCCAGGAACAAAUGAUUAAGAAUGAUACAUCGAUGGUUGUACAAGGAUAAUACAACCUGGGUGACAGUUGAUCGCCUCACUAUGCAUAGCCACUUUAUGACAAUCAGACAAGUUAUUUGAGUUGUACGCAUCUUCGUAAAAUACCAGUAAUUUUCACAUUAGACCAAAAUGAUAGAUUUAUGACUAGAUUUUGGAAGAAUCUACAUGAUUGGUUUCAAGAAUUUAUUACCACCGAUAAGGUGAUGAAGUGUCAAAGCGGGCGUAGGAAACGCCCGAAGACACGAUCGAGAGCCAAGGUGCUCGGUGUAGAAGGACAAUUGGGAACAAGUUUUUACCAGAGAUAGAGUCUGUUCAUAACAUCAGCUAUUAAGCAAAUAGUGAAAUGGUAUCGUAUGAAGCUUCACACGGAGAGGAGCUUAGACCACCCUCUAUAGAACGAGGUCAGUGAGAGAAAAGUAUUGGACCCUGAUUUCUAUUACGGAGGUGAUAGAAAUUUCUCAAGAAUCCUAGAGGGAAGAAAGGGGCCAGGACGGACAGAAGUCUCGCAGGGAUGUUAGACUCAUAGUUUAACAAGGAAAAACAAGGUUAAUUGAAGAGUAUCUCCCUCAAAGAGAUAAUUGGAUUCGAAGUCAAGGGAAACUUCGACCACAAUAUAUAGAUGUAGUAAUUAUCAAAUGGCACCACCACUGAACUUGAAAAUUUUCGCGACAUGCCCUUGUCCAGAAAGUACGAGUUUAAUUUAAUACGUGUAUUCCAUCGAGAAGAGAUAGUCAUAAAUAUGAACUAGGAAUUGCAAGGAGAAGUCAAAAACAACUUCAAAGAAUACAAUAAUGGAGAAGUAUUACUCCCUCCGUCCCGAGCUACUCGCUCACUUCUUUUUCGGCACGGAGAUUAAGGAAUGAGUGUAUAGGAAAGUCAAAAAUGACGGCUGUAGGUGAAAAUUUUUACUAAAAAUGGAAAGAGUGCAAGUAACUUGGGACGCCCAAAAAGGAAAUACGUGCGAGUAGUGCGGGACGGAGGGAGUAUUUUUUAUGAAGGUGUUAGGGAAACGCCAUAGAGGAAAUAAGGGGCAGUGUGGAGGAGGAAUAUCUCGAAUCACACAAGUAGAGCAGCACAAAUUUCGGGACGAAAUGUUUUUUAAAGAAGGUGGAAUGUGACGCCCCAGAAAUUUCGCACCAGGAUUUGAAGAAUAAUUUUUUUUAUGGAAACGAAAGAAUUUUUUUUGCGUUGGAGAUAAUAAUAAUUUUCGACAUGCAAUUCAAUGGAUUUUUUUAGCAAGCAACUAGUUGAAUUCAAUUUCAAAGUAUGAAUUGAGUAGCAUCUCAUUUUAUCACGUUGGACAAAGUACUCGGAAUUUGUGAAUCAAGACAUCACCUUGGAAAAUACAAACGUUGGGAGAGGAAAUUCCCAAUAAAUUGCAAUUGAAAGAAAGUAAAAAGGAUCUCCAAUUGGAAAUAAAAAUAAGAGAAGAUGCUAAGAGUUAUCAAAUGGUAUACUACACAUAUACAUAAGGGAAUGUAUGGACAUGUAUAAUGUUUAUGAAUGCACGGGAAAUUGCAAGUCAUAAUAUAACUCUUUCCCAAACAAGAAAUUCAAGAGACACACUUUACAAGGAAGAAGUCCAUCUUUCAUGGAAAAAGGUUACAUAAGAAUUUUGGGGAAGAAGACAUAUCUACUUUACAAAAUCUAUCCUACAUAGAGAGCUAUAAAUGGGCAAGGAAACAAUUGCUAUGAACUACACAAAUCCUUGAGGAUUUCCUCCACACCCAUCUCGAUUCCAUACACUACUCUAUGCCAAGAGGUCAAUUUGUACUCUCCUAGAGAUAGCAUGAGUUGUCCUUCCACCCGCUAAGGAAAUUGCCAAUGAAAUUCCCAAAAAUAGUUAGAUUUCUUCUUCAACAAAAGCCAAGGGAAAAUGUUAUUCAAGAAAAUUGUAAGGAGCCAUUUAAGAUCUUGCAAGAGUGUCUGUCACUACUCUCAUACAAAGCCAAGAUGGAGACAAGGAAUGAGAUAUCCCAAAUCUUUCCAAAGUGGAAGUAAUGACAAUUGGACGAAGAAUGGUGAGCUCAUCUCCUUAACCUAAAGAGUGAAAGUCCUUUUUUCCCACAUGAGAAAUUAAGGAACGAAAUCAACAAGUAUACUCCCAAAAACCUGCCACAAAGGGACAAAGAAAUCGGCUAUAUAAACAACACCAAUCCACACUUCCUUCACCCUCUUUAUCACUUAGAAAAUUUCAUCGGAGAAUCAACAAGGAGUGAGAGGAGAGGGAGGAAGCACUCGAACAUCACAACAAUUACGGAAUCACCACAGCAAGUUUUUUUAAAAAAAGGAUAUAUUUGGCUUGGAGGUAAAGUAAAGCCGACGCGACAAUUUUAAUUGAGGAGUAAACAUAUCAGAUUAAGCAAUAAGGUGGAGGCGUGCUGAUCAGAGUCGAUGUUACUUAAGUAAAUAAGGGUGGAUCUCUCGACGCUUCGUGUCUUCAUACGCGAGGUUGUUCUUUGGACCUUUCCACUGCAGUUUGUUAUGAGAGUAUAGUGAACUCUCAUCAUCAAAACUCUGAUUCAUUUUGAUGAAAUGGUAUUGUUAUUCAAAUCCUUGUAAUCGAAUACUUGGAUCUUAUCUUAUCAUAUUGUUUGACUUUUCAAUGUGUAAGUUCUAUCCCUAUUUCUUCCCUGUUUCUUUAAACCCUUUUAUUAGUCGUGAUUUAUCCGCUUUUGCUAUCUUUAGCAAAGUGCGGUCGUGACAACAAG